CAGUGUGUGUUUGAAGGAAGCCUUUCAAUGCAGGACACAGAGAUUGAGCGAAGGCCUUACCAUAAAAACUCCAGCUGCGCUCUACACUCCAAGGCCGGUGUUUGCUCCAAUGCUUGUCAAAGGAACAUUUCCUUUCCCAAGAAACAGUCGUGGAGCGAUCGUUUCCUGUGCAUGCAAGCAUCAGCAACUUCCAAAUUUUCUUCUCCUCUUGUUGGAGACUUGUCCACAUCCACAUCCACCAGAAACAGCGACAUUGUGACUGGGGUUCAUAAUCCGGCCUUGCCACAUAGGCGAUAGAUCUGGAUUGAUCUCAUGCACGAUGAUUACUGGUGAGUUAGAACUUAGAAUUAAAAGAUUAAUCAGAAGUGAGAAGCAAAUUUUUUUGUUAGUUUCUCACCAUCUUAUUCUUGUCCAUAAUUGAUUUGGAGAAGUUGGUGCUUGUAGGUUAGUUUAAUUUCUACUACCUUCGUCCGGAUGUAAAUUCAACUCAGUACAUAUUCCUGUAAUUAAACAUUGUCACCUUUGCUCGAUGCUACUGAAACUGCAUACAUACAACAAACUUAAUCGACCAGAGAAUCUGACUGUCUGAGUUCAUAUGCUCUUCUCUUCCCGAUCGAUUCUGCACUCCCCUUUUAUGUUUGGUUGCAUUCUACAUUCCACAUUCUACAAUUUACUUCAUCGUUUUGCCUCUAGUUUUCUUUGCACAAAAUUUUUUAGAUAAGCGGUUCUAAAAGGCGCCGAGUGCUAGUCAGUUAGCAGGUAGGGGCCUAACGCCUAAGCGUCUAGGCAAGGCCUAGGUGAAUUUUUUAAUUUUAAUUAAAUUUAUUAUAUAACAUAUAAAUAAAUGUUUACUCAUAUUUAAAAAUAUAUAUAUACAUAUAUAUAUAAUUGUAUAUUCAUAAAUUACAAAAUAAAAUGACAUAAGAUUAAGUAUUAGAAUAAAUAGAAAACAUGGGGAACAAUAAAAGAGAUGAAAAUACAAGAGGUGAGAAAAGGAGGUUAUUUUGGUGGCAAUGAAAAUACAAGGUAGAUUACUUCGAUUUAUGUUCUGUUUUGUUAUGUAAAGGAGAAAUAUAGAUAAGAGAUGAAAAUACAAGAGAACAUGUAAAAAUUAGGGGGAAAAGAGGUCAUGAGAAGAUGCAAAAUAAAUAGCCUUGAAUAAAAAAUGAUUGUUUUAAUUUUAAUUAUUUAAUUUUGUCUGGUUUUUUAUUUUUAUUCUAAAAAUCAUUUUAUAUAUUUUAUCUAUUUCCUUCCCUUCUCUGAUUAACUACAACAGUUAAAUCCACUAGUUGGAAUUGAACUUUCUGCAGAUGUUUAACAUUGUGGUUUUGAACAUCACCUAAAUAAUGAAGCACUCAAUUAACCGACUUUUUUUACAAUCAAAACUUUUUCUAUUUAAGCAAAGACACAUAUUGCCAAAAUAAAAUGGGAAAAGUUUGAAACCGAAAGAAAGGUACGUAAUGUAAAAACUGCAUCCCAAUUUCAGCUUGCAUUCACUACAAAAUAACUCAAAACAACAAAAUUGUAGGAUUAAAUCAGAGCAAUACAGUUAGAUUACUCUCAAUAAGUGAUCGAAUAGUUAUCACAGAGAGAGAGAGAGAGAGAGAGAGAGAGAGAGAUUGCAUUACAGAUGACGUAGUAGGAGCAUUAAAAAUUCAAGAUUUUAUAUUGAUGGCUUCAAAGAAAUUAGUUUGCCGGACUCACAGAAAAGCAUUGCAGAUUUUGUUUCCACUUCUCUCUCACUGUAAGGGCCAACGGGAUGCCAAACGUGGGUCAGGCAACAGAUAUUGUUGAGGAAAAACUUAGAGUACACAACUCUAACACAAGUGUUGGCGAGACAACACAAGUAAACAAAUUACUUGUAUUACACUCACAAAAUAUUACAACACAACAAACUCUCAAGGACACACUUGAGAAGCAAUGACACUCACUCACCUUGUAGAGACAAAUUCUAGACCACUCACACUCCUACAAGACUAUUCUUGCUUCUCACUCUCACUUGGUUGCCUACUACUUCUUUACAAGCUUACUUGAUUGUUGCUUGUUUGAUUGCUUACUUAUAUUACUAUUGGAAGUAGGGUUCAAUAUUGGAAGAAUAAUGCAAGUAGGGUUCGUAGGGUUCAAUGUUGGAAGAAUAAUGCAACCCUUUGUUUAAGUUUUUUAUGGAUAACAGCUCAGCUUAGUGCUAGUGUUAGCUGGUUGUUAUUCCACCAGCUUUGUAAAGCUAAUUAGUAGUUUAAGUUAGAGAGAGUGGAGGACACAAUGAUGCUUGCUUAGCUGCCAGGAGGUCACAAUGAUGCUGCCAUUAUCCUCCACCUUUCCAUCUCCACUCUCCUUCCCGUUUUCUUAUCAUAUAUAUGUUGGACCUUGUAGCUGAUUCAUAUUAUGAAAUAUACAUUAAAAUUCAAUAUGGUAUCAGAGCAGGAAAAAUAACCUGCUGCUGCAUUCCUACCAUCUCCAAUAUGGCGGAAGAAAAUUCUUCUUCGUUUGAAGCUGAAAAUUCCCAGACAUUUUGACACGCCCCGAUCCCGAUGUCCUAGGGACAAAGGGAUGG
rnacentral:lncRNA from 1 species